GAUGAACGCUGGCGGCGUGCCUAAUACAUGCAAGUAGAACGCUGAAGGAAGGAGCUUACUCUUUCCGGAUGAGUUGCGAACGGGUGAGUAACGCGUAGGUAACCUGCCUGGUAGCGGGGGAUAACUAUUGGAAACGAUAGCUAAUACCGCAUAACAGUAGAUGUUGCAUGAUAUCUACUUAAAAGGUGCAAUUGCACCACUACCAGAUGGACCUGCGUUGUAUUAGCUAGUUGGUGAGGUAACGGCUCACCAAGGCGACGAUACAUAGCCGACCUGAGAGGGUGAUCGGCCACACUGGGACUGAGACACGGCCCAGACUCCUACGGGAGGCAGCAGUAGGGAAUCUUCGGCAAUGGACGGAAGUCUGACCGAGCAACGCCGCGUGAGUGAAGAAGGUUUUCGGAUCGUAAAGCUCUGUUGUAAGAGAAGAACGAGUGUGAGAGUGGAAAGUUCACACUGUGACGGUAUCUUACCGGAAAGGGACGGCUAACUACGUG
rnacentral:rRNA from 1 species